UACGGGGGGGGCAAGCGUUGUUCGGAAUUACUGGGCGUAAAGGGCUCGUAGGCGGCCAACUAAGUCGGACGUGAAAUCCCCAGGCUCAACCUGGGAACUGCGUCCGAUACUGGAUGGCUUGAAUUCGGGAGAGGGGUGCAGAAUUCCAGGUGUAGCGGUGAAAUGCGUAGAUAUCUGGAGGAAUACCGGUGGCGAAGGCGGCAUCCUGGACCGACAUUGACGCUGAUGAGCGAAAGCUAGGGGAGCAAACGGG
rnacentral:rRNA from 1 species